GCAAGUUUACUGUAAUUCCUUGUACAUAACGAAUAGAGGAACUGACCGUUUCGCGGCUGGGUUAAGACUGUUUGAAAUACUGUAGAACUUCGCUAAUCUCAUGCGUUAAAACCAUGAAUUAAUUCAUACAAGAGGCUACUUUACAGCUAUAACACUGAUUGUUUCAUUUAUUCGGAAAUUGGAGCAAGGAAAGAUGUCCUGGACUUUGAGCAGUUUC
rnacentral:lncRNA from 1 species